rnacentral:rRNA from 1 species
AAACCGCUUAGGGGUUAAGCCUGAUGAACCUGAAUAUUUGAAAUGAGAAAUUCAAUAUUUUUUAGUAGUUUCUAUUGAAACAAACAAAGAUAUGCACUUUUCUCAGUGUAAAACAUUGCAAUCGAUUUGUAUAUCCUUAUGGAUGGUUUAUCAAAUGGCCUGUUUGGUUUGUUCAUUCCUAUCUGUGGCAUUUACUGUCAUAUGGGUGAUACCAUAACGGUGACCUGGUAAACAGCAGAUCGUUUUUAACAAUCAUGCAACCAUAUAUUGUGUAUCACGGUUUAUACACAUUUUAUGUGUGUAGAUGCAGUGAUGGCAUGUAUUUGAUUGGCAAUGCGAUAGAUUUGGGAUACCUUCAGGACCCGUCUUGAAACACGGACCAAGAAGUCUAACAUGUGUGCGAGUCAUUGGGUAUAUUGUUGAAACCUAAGGGCGAAAUUAAAAUAACUAUUUUAUGGGAUUACAAGUGAAUUAAUUUUCAUUUCUCCAUCCCGGGGCGUUCUAUACGAACAUGGUUCAAGCAAUUGGGCCCUCUGUUCAAGAGCGUACCUUGAGCAUACAUGCUGUGACCCGAAAGAUGGUGAACUAUACCUGAUCAGAUCGAAGCCAGGAGAAAUUCUGGUGGAGGAUCGAAACAGUUCUGACGUGCAAAUCGAUUGUCAGAAUUGGGUAUAGGGGCGAAAGACCAAUCGAACCAUCUAGUAGCUGGUUCCCUCCGAAGUUUCCCUCAGGAUAGCUGGCGCAAAGAAUUAUAUUAAAUAUAAUCUUAUCUGGUAAAGCGAAUGAUUAGAGGCCUUGGGGCCGAAACGACCUCAACCUAUUCUCAAACUUUAAAUGGGUAAGAACCUCAUCUUUCUUGAUCUGAAGAUAUUGGGGUUUAGAUAUAUUGUGCCCAGUGGGCCACUUUUGGUAAGCAGAACUGGCGCUGUGGGAUGAACCAAACAUGAUGUUACGGCGCCUAAAUUAAUGACUCAUAUUGAUACCAUGAAAGGCGUUGGUUGCUUAAAACAGCAGGACGGUGGACAUGGAAGUCGUAAUCCGCUAAGGAGUGUGUAACAACUCACCUGCCGAAGCAACUAGCCCUUAAAAUGGAUGGCGCUCAAGUCAUAUGCCUAUACAUCAUCGCUAGAAUAAAAAUUGUUGACUUUAUGGUGAUCAUUGUGAAAUUCUAGUGAGUAGGAGGGUACAAUGGUGUGCGCAGAAGUGUUUGGCGUGAGCCUGCAUGAAGCCGCCAUUGGCACAGAUCUUGGUGGUAGUAGCAAAUAAUCGAAUGAGAUCUUGGAGGACUGAAGUGGAGAAGGGUUUCGUGUGAACAGUGGUUGAUCACGAGUUAGUCGGUCCUAAGCUUUAUGCGAAAGCUGUUUAAUUUAUGUU